UUAAGCGACUAAGCGUACACGGUGGAUGCCCUGGCAGUCAGAGGCGAUGAAGGACGUGCUAAUCUGCGAAAAGCGUCGGUAAGGUGAUAUGAACCGUUAUAACCGGCGAUGUCCGAAUGGGGAAACCCAGUGUGAUUCGUCACACUAUCGUUAACUGAAUACAUAGGUUAACGAGGCGAACCGGGGGAACUGAAACAUCUAAGUACCCCGAGGAAAAGAAAUCAACCGAGAUUCCCCCAGUAGCGGCGAGCGAACGGGGAGCAGCCCAGAGUCUGAAUCAGCUUGUGUGUUAGUGGAACGGUCUGGAAAGUCCGACGGUACAGGGUGAUAGUCCCGUACACCAAAAUGCACAGGCUGUGAACUCGAAGAGUAGGGCGGGACACGUGGUAUCCUGUCUGAAUAUGGGGGGACCAUCCUCCAAGGCUAAAUACUCCUGACUGACCGAUAGUGAACCAGUACCGUGAGGGAAAGGCGAAAAGAACCCCGGCGAGGGGAGUGAAAAAGAACCUGAAACCGUGUACGUACAAGCAGUGGGAGCACCUUCGGGUGUGACUGCGUACCUUUUGUAUAAUGGGUCAGCGACUUAUAUUCUGUAGCAAGGUUAACCGUAUAGGGGAGCCGCAGGGAAACCGAGUCUUAACUGGGCGUUAAGUUGCAGGGUAUAGACCCGAAACCCGGUGAUCUAGCCAUGGGCAGGUUGAAGGUUGGGUAACACUAACUGGAGGACCGAACCGACUAAUGUUGAAAAAUUAGCGGAUGACUUGUGGCUGGGGGUGAAAGGCCAAUCAAACCGGGAGAUAGCUGGUUCUCCCCGAAAGCUAUUUAGGUAGCGCCUCGUGAAUUCAUCUUCGGGGGUAGAGCACUGUUUCGGCUAGGGGGUCAUCCCGACUUACCAACCCGAUGCAAACUACGAAUACCGAAGAAUGUUAUCACGGGAGACACACGGCGGGUGCUAACGUCCGUCGUGAAGAGGGAAACAACCCAGACCGCCAGCUAAGGUCCCAAAGUCAUGGUUAAGUGGGAAACGAUGUGGGAAGGCACAGACAGCCAGGAUGUUGGCUUAGAAGCAGCCAUCAUUUAAAGAAAGCGUAAUAGCUCACUGGUCGAGUCGGCCUGCGCGGAAGAUGUAACGGGGCUAAACCAUGCACCGAAGCUGCGGCAGCGACACUAUGUGUUGUUGGGUAGGGGAGCGUUCUGUAAGCCUGCGAAGGUGACCUGUGAGGGUUGCUGGAGGUAUCAGAAGUGCGAAUGCUGACAUAAGUAACGAUAAAGCGGGUGAAAAGCCCGCUCGCCGGAAGACCAAGGGUUCCUGUCCAACGUUAAUCGGGGCAGGGUGAGUCGACCCCUAAGGCGAGGCCGAAAGGCGUAGUCGAUGGGAAACAGGUUAAUAUUCCUGUACUUGGUGUUACUGCGAAGGGGGGACGGAGAAGGCUAUGUUAGCCGGGCGACGGUUGUCCCGGUUUAAGCAUGUAGGCUGGUUGUCCAGGCAAAUCCGGAUAAUCAAGGCUGAGGUGUGAUGACGAGGCACUACGGUGCUGAAGUAACAAAUGCCCUGCUUCCAGGAAAAGCCUCUAAGCAUCAGGUAACAUUAAAUCGUACCCCAAACCGACACAGGUGGUCAGGUAGAGAAUACCAAGGCGCUUGAGAGAACUCGGGUGAAGGAACUAGGCAAAAUGGUGCCGUAACUUCGGGAGAAGGCACGCUGGUGUGUAGGUGAAGUCCCUGCGGAUGGAGCUGAGACCAGUCGAAGAUACCAGCUGGCUGCAACUGUUUAUUAAAAACACAGCACUGUGCAAACACGAAAGUGGACGUAUACGGUGUGACGCCUGCCCGGUGCCGGAAGGUUAAUUGAUGGGGUUAUCCGUAAGGAGAAGCUCUUGAUCGAAGCCCCGGUAAACGGCGGCCGUAACUAUAACGGUCCUAAGGUAGCGAAAUUCCUUGUCGGGUAAGUUCCGACCUGCACGAAUGGCGUAAUGAUGGCCAGGCUGUCUCCACCCGAGACUCAGUGAAAUUGAACUCGCUGUGAAGAUGCAGUGUACCCGCGGCAAGACGGAAAGACCCCGUGAACCUUUACUAUAGCUUGACACUGAACAUUGAGCCUUGAUGUGUAGGAUAGGUGGGAGGCUUUGAAGCGUGGACGCCAGUCUGCGUGGAGCCAACCUUGAAAUACCACCCUUUAAUGUUUGAUGUUCUAACGUUGGCCCCUUAUCGGGGUUGCGGACAGUGUCUGGUGGGUAGUUUGACUGGGGCGGUCUCCUCCCAAAGCGUAACGGAGGAGCACGAAGGUUAGCUAAUCCUGGUCGGACAUCAGGAGGUUAGUGCAAUGGCAUAAGCUAGCUUGACUGCGAGCGUGACGGCGCGAGCAGGUGCGAAAGCAGGUCAUAGUGAUCCGGUGGUUCUGAAUGGAAGGGCCAUCGCUCAACGGAUAAAAGGUACUCCGGGGAUAACAGGCUGAUACCGCCCAAGAGUUCAUAUCGACGGCGGUGUUUGGCACCUCGAUGUCGGCUCAUCACAUCCUGGGGCUGAAGUAGGUCCCAAGGGUAUGGCUGUUCGCCAUUUAAAGUGGUACGCGAGCUGGGUUUAGAACGUCGUGAGACAGUUCGGUCCCUAUCUGCCGUGGGCGCUGGAGAAUUGAGGGGGGCUGCUCCUAGUACGAGAGGACCGGAGUGGACGCAUCACUGGUGUUCGGGUUGUCAUGCCAAUGGCACUGCCCGGUAGCUAAAUGCGGAAGAGAUAAGUGCUGAAAGCAUCUAAGCACGAAACUUGCCCCGAGAUGAGUUCUCCCUGAGACUUUAAGUCUCCUGAAGGAACGUUAAAGACGAUGACGUUGAUAGGCCGGGUGUGUAAGCGCAGCGAUGCGUUGAGCUAACCGGUACUAAUGAACCGUGAGGCUUAACCUU
rnacentral:rRNA from 1 species